CUGAACUGGAACGCCGUAGCAUGGCGACAUGUUAGAACAUACGUGAGCCCUUCUGGUGGCAAGUAUCUUUCCUUGGUGCAUCCUUGUAUCCAGUUCUGAGAACUGAGUUCAUUUGCUCCAGGAAGCAGAGUUCAAGGCUAAGACUUAGCUGCCCCAGCUCCCCGGGGAGUACAAGACCAAGAAGACAAGAGCAAACAGGACUGAGGCGAGAGGCAUCGCGUUAGAGAUUAGACAAAGGGAGUGAGUGUCUGGGAGACAGCAGGCAGGGCUGGGGAGAGAAACAAACUGAAGCUAGUGUCUGUCACUUGUCACAGCAGACCCAUAGUCAGACAUGGCUGAACUCUCUGGUGCUUCUGCAAGCUGUGACUGGUUCAAGGAUGGUGAGCCCAGGGUUGGCCACAGGAAGAGUGACUCAGGGUCUGUCCAUGUUCAUCGUGACACCAGGACAAGUGAGGCUCCUAACAUCUGGAGGCUCAUAACAUCUCCUAGGACCCAGAUAACAUGGGUAGACUUUGACUUUCAGCAUGUGGUUUCCCAUUUCCAAUGACUCCCACCGAGUGUUUGGUUCGCUCUGGUCUGUAUUUCAAAAUGGCCUCAGCAAGGACGACUUCACAUCUCGGACACAAGGCUGCACCGUCUCCCGGGGACCCACACACUGAAGCACACGCCGCACACUGCUGCUGAGGGGCUCUCCGCAGACUGCGCAUUACUGGUUUGUCUGGGUCUAAUUUGGGCCCCAGUGCACCCUGGGUAGAGACUCUUUCAUUUCACAUCCUCCUCCUUCCUCCUCCUCGGCGGCGUUCGGCAGAUUUUGUUCACCCAACAAAUGUUAAAUGCCAGCAGCCAGUAAUAACUGACACCUCUCCCUAAAUAAAGCACCGUUUUGAGGCAGCAUA